GUCUUUUAGAAUUUUAUUUAAAGUCUAACCUGCCCAUUGAAUAAUUUAAAAGGCUCGCGGUAUUUUGACCGUACAAAGGUAGCAUAGUCAUUAGUUUCUUAAUUGGGAACUUGUAUGAAUGGUUGAAUGAAAAAUUAACUUUUUUAUUUUAAGUGAAGAACUUUACUUUUUAAUCAAAAGGUUAAAAUGUAUUUAAAAGACGAGAAGACCCUAUAGAGUUUGAUAAUUUUUAUUUUAUUUUUAAUAAAGUUUAAUUAUAAUUUUAUUUUAAAAAUUAUUUUAUUGGGGUGAUAGUAUAAUUUAAUUAACUUAUAUUUAUUAUGUACAUUAAUAUAUGAUUUAUUGAUCCAUUAUUAAUGAUUAAAAGUUUAAAUUACCUUAGGGAUAACAGCGUAAUUUUUUUUUAAGUUCAUAUUAAUAAAAAAUUUUGCGACCUCGAUGUUGGAUUAAGAUUUAAUUUUAGGUGCAGCAGUUUAAAGUUUAAGUCUGUUCGACUUUUAAAUUCUU
rnacentral:rRNA from 1 species